rnacentral:rRNA from 1 species
AUGGCGUUUCUGGGAGGAUCAUUGCGCGUGACGAGGAGCAUUAGCAGCCGGAAGAUGAUGGAAGGGAAGAAGAGCCACGGCGCGUCCGGGUUGUGGCGGCAAGCACCGGCGCCCGUGAGGCAGCUGUUCUGGAGGGUGAGGCGCUCCAUGCUACGGCCGAAGCGCCGCGCCGUGAGUUUCGGGUACGACCUCAAGAGCUACUCCCAGAACUUCGACGACGGCCUCGUCCCUGUCCACCAUCUCUAG